CAGCAUCAGGCUGGCAGUCCCUUCAGCAUCGGGCAACUGGAUAAUGGCCCAGAUUUACAGCAGCACUGAUGAGCACUUGGAGGUCUUCACCACUAUCUUCUCCUCCAAAGGUGGUAGCAGUGGUUGACUACAAGCCCCACUGGUCGGAUGAGUUAGUCCUGUGCCAGGGUGAUGUCAUCCAUGUUCUCUACAAAGAUGAUGAAGUGUGGUGGUUUGGAUGCCUGAAGAAUGAGCAGCAAGGAUACUUCCCGUCUGCUUACGUCGCAACGCAGAAAAUCCAAGUCUUCACCCAUCAUCAUCAGCUCAUUAAAAAGGAGUUUGAUCCACAAGCCAAAUACAGAUGUCAGUACUUCCACUGAAGGGCAGGUCCCUCUCGCCUGGGCUGCUCUGCUCUUUCUUACAAGGGCCUGUCUGUCACCCCCUCCACAGGGAUUACACAAACAGCAGUAAACAUAGCUUGAAGACCCAGAAGAAUGUGAAGGGAGAACUUGUCCUCCCUUUGGGCCCCAAUGCCACUCUGCCCCUGACAGGGGAUGUGUCUCAGAACUCGCCCAACAUCCUACACAAGAUCCUGAUAAGGAACAAGAAGAGGGGAGAGUACCUGGGGGCCACAAACAACGCUUAUGAACCCGACUGAGAGAAGUGUGCUGGAAGCCUGUCUGUAAUUACAGGAAACGUGAGGAAGGAAGGAAGUGAAGUAAUAGUUAUAUUAAGCAAUGACUCAAAGCAAGGCCAUGCAACCACAGCUGGCAUGUAGACAUGCAAUGGACUUUCUCUGUCUGACAGAAGCAGUGUUUUGCUCAUACUUAACUAUUAAGCAUUCCUUCUGCCCAGGACAGUUUCUGAAGAGUAAUCUAAUGCUAAAAUAAAGGGACCUUUUAAAGCUCUAUUAACAUUAAUAUAAGAGUUACUCAUUUGAGUUGUAUGACAUAGAUAAGGUGUCAUGUUUCUCUGAAUAUACAAGAAAUAUAAACUUGUGUCUCUAGGGUUUCAAUAUAGACGCUAAUGCAAAAAAUAAUAAUAAUGAUAAUAAUGUAAUAAAAAAAACAAGAAAGGUUAACAAUUGAACUGCUCUAAACAGUUUUUUUUUGGGUUUUUUUUACCAUUGAAAUAAUCCAGCCAUUAGGCCUUUCUGAAUACAAAUAACUACAAUGUUGUCUCAUUCAUUUUGUUUUUGUUUGUUUUUCUUUUGAAAUGUCAGUGUUCCUAUGCUUUUAUAGUAUUUGUUUUCCCAUUAGACUCGCAUUGUCUGAACUGUUCUGUAUGAUGUACUGUGUAACCAUUCAUAACAUGUGAAAAAUAUGAAAGCACUUUUUAAUAUAAUACAAAAAAAAUCUCAUUAUGAAAAAAAUUCUCUAGCAAAAUGUUGUGGUGUCCACGAACUCUAAUUGAAUAUCUCUGGCUUGUAAUUUAUAAUUCUGUAAUUCUUUGUCAAGUAUUAUGGAUAUUGUACAAUACAAAUUAAAAGUUUGGCGAUAGUGUUGUUAAGGGGGUUUGCCUCAUAUGUUAUUUGAAAUAGGACUUCAAAUUUGUUGUAUUAUAUAAACACAAGACAAAAAAAGGUCUUUGUGCACAACUGUACUCUAUACACAUGUUUAAUUGCAGUGACACAUGAUUGACUAAGCGUGAAAGCUAUAUCUCUCAAGCACAAAUUUGAUGAGGCUUUGUAUGGACAUUUGUUACAAAACAUUAUGGCAUAAAUGUUGCUUUGUAAAUCAGUUUUUCAGAAAAUCAAAUGGAAGUUUGUACAUAUAUAGGGUGCUAUGUGACACAGUGGGUGAAUUGCAUGUGUACCAGUGUGUCAUUUAUAGUUAAUGCAUAUACUGUUUGUAUGAAUGAAACUAUUUUUAAUAAAACUUUGUGCAGU